rnacentral:rRNA from 1 species
GACGAACGCUGGCGGCGUGCCUAACACAUGCAAGUCGAGCGAUGAAAUCCCUUCGGGGAUGGAUUAGCGGCGGACGGGUGAGUAACACGUGGGCAACCUACCUCAAAGUGGGGGAUAGCCUCCCGAAAGGGAGAUUAAUACCGCAUAACAUUAGUUUUUCACUUGAAGAACUAAUUAAAGGAGUAAUCCGUUUCGAGAUGGGCCCGCGGCGCAUUAGCUAGUUGGUGAGGUAAUGGCUCACCAAGGCGACGAUGCGUAGCCGACCUGAGAGGGUGAUCGGCCACAUUGGAACUGAGACACGGUCCAGACUCCUACGGGAGGCAGCAGUGGGGAAUAUUGCACAAUGGGGGAAACCCUGAUGCAGCAACGCCGCGUGAGUGAUGAAGGUCUUCGGAUUGUAAAGCUCUGUCUUUUGGGACGAUAAUGACGGUACCAAAGGAGGAAGCCACGGCUAACUACGUGCCAGCCGCCGCUGUAACAC